UUGUAUCAAUCCUUGAAUUCUCUGUGGGGAACGAUCCGUCUACCGGGACCGGGGAGCCACCAAAAAUAAAUCGGCCUUUUUGAAAAGUUGACCUUGCUGGGGAAGUAUCAACUAUGGAAACUUUGCUUGGCGAGGCUCUACGAGGAAAGUCUGUGAGGAAAGCACUUCCUGGGGAAAUGUCGUAGGAAUCGACCUUUGCUGGGGAUAUGAACU
rnacentral:lncRNA from 1 species